rnacentral:rRNA from 1 species
GACGAACGCUGGCGGCGUGCUUAACACAUGCAAGUCGAACGGAAAGGCAGUGCUUUCGUGGGGUGACGGAGUGCCGAAGGGGGGAGUAACAGGUGAGUAACCUGCUCUAGAUUUUGGGAUAACUUCAGGUAACUGGGGUUAAUCCCGUACAGGAGCUCCUCCUGCAUGGUAGGGGUUGGAAAGUCGCGGCGGUCGGGGUUGGACGGGCGGCUUACCGGCUAGCUGGUUGGGUAGUGGCAUACCAAGGCAUUGACCGGUCGCCGGCCUGGGAGGGUGACCGGCGACAUGAGUACUACGAGACGGCGCAGACUGCAACGUGAGACAGCAGUGGCGAGUAUUGCACAAUGAGCGGAAGCCUGAUGCGGCAACGCCGCGUGCGGGAUGACGUCCUUCUGGGUGUGAACCGCUUUCGCCUGUGACGAAGCGUGAGUGACGGUAAUGGGUAAAGAAGCACCGGCUAACUACGUG